UAGCGGCGGACGGGUGAGUAACGCGUGGGAACAUACCCAAUGGUACGGAAUAACUCAGGGAAACUUGAGCUAAUACCGUAUAGUCCCUGAGGGGUAAAGAUUUAUCGCCAUUGGAUUGGCCCGCGUCUGAUUAGGUAGUUGGUGAGGUAAUGGCCUACCAAGCCGACGAUCCAUAGCUGGUUUGAGAGGAUGAUCAGCCACACUGGGACUGAGACACGGCCCAGACUCC
rnacentral:rRNA from 1 species